rnacentral:rRNA from 1 species
AACGAACGCUGGCGGCAGGCUUAACACAUGCAAGUCGAGCGCCCCGCAAGGGGAGCGGCAGACGGGUGAGUAACGCGUGGGAAUCUACCCAUCCCUACGGAAUAGCUCCGGGAAACUGGAAUUAAUACCGUAUACGCCCUACGGGGGAAAGAUUUAUCGGGGAUGGAUGAGCCCGCGUUGGAUUAGCUAGUUGGUGGGGUAAAGGCCUACCAAGGCGACGAUCCAUAGCUGGUCUGAGAGGAUGAUCAGCCACAUUGGGACUGAGACACGGCCCACACUCAUACGGGAGGCAGCAGUGGGGAAUAUUGGACAAUGGGGGCAACCCUGAUCCAGCCAUGCCGCGUGAGUGAUGAAGGCCUUAGGGUUGUAAAGCUCUUUCACCGGGGAAGAUAAUGACGGUACCCGGAGAAGAAGCCCCGGCUAACUUCGUGCCAGCCGCCGCAGUAA